CUAUGCUUGAAGUAACAAGUCUAAUGAUUUUCUAUGUUCUCUGGAAUUUCUUCUAUGCAAGAAAGCUUGAGUACAGAAGUUUUAUAUUGGAUCUCCCCCUCACAAAUAUCUUAAUUUUCCAAGUAUCAAAUAGUAUAUUUUACUAUUAGUCCAUUAGUACUCUCCCCAUUUAGUCCCAUAUUCUCUGUUGAGAUACUUUUCAUAUAACACUAGCAGGCACUAUAGGAAACUUCUAGUGUCAUUCUAAGAAAAAUGCCAUUUCUACUAUACAGUUUGUGUGGUGGCUUAAAGGUAACAUUUCUUUGUUACAUCAAAGUUACAAUAGUCUACUAGACAUUAUUAUUAUGUACUAUAAUUCAGGCAUCUAUAAAUAGCACUAAAGAACCAUGCCACUGAGAGAUAAUAGUGAAUUAGGAGAUUGCUUAAUUUUGGAGCCCAGAGUCACAGUCAUAAGAGCAUGUAGAAAUGAAGGCAUUUUUCUAUGUAGCCAGGAUCUAGAGUCAAACAGGUAGAUGCAGGAGAGCCCUGAGGCACCACUGGCUGGCUUUAUUUUAUUAUCAGUUGAUAUCUAUGUCUAGAGUAAAUUACAUUUCCUUCUGUCUUCGCCUUUCAAACUUUCUUCUGCAUUUCCUGCAAUAUGGGUUGAUGGAGUGACAUAUGUAUCAAUAGCUCCCUCAGAGAUCUCCAAACUUACCACAGAUUUUGUUUUUAAUAUCGAAGUGUGAGAUCUCUGUUUUUGAAUGAUUCUUUGUCCAUUCCCUAUUGGAAUGCACAUAAAUGUCAAAUCAGAGGCAACCUGAGCUAAUAAAGGUCUCUGAAGCCAGUAUUUUCACACCAGUCUCCGGAUUAGAGUCCAGUUCUCAAGUGGAUCUAGCCAAAGCCUGACUAUAAGAUGCUCCAGAGAAGGAUGUCUCUUGAAUCCUGCAGGUGACAAAGCUAAUGAAAUCCCAGCAUGAGCAGGUACUUGCAGGUAUCCCCUUUGCUCCUUCUCUGAGAUACCUCCUUGCAUUUCCUGUGCAAGUAAUGCUUUCCUGCUUUUGAUUUAAAAUCUUCAGCCCUGCCUCAGUUUUAGAUCCUAUACAUCUUGUAGAUUUAGAUAUAAGGAAUAUAAUUUGAUUUGGGAACCAGUAUCAAUGAAGUCUAACAUUGACUGUCUUCCUUGUUAUCAUAGUGCUGCCAUCAAGGGUUUCAAAUGCUAACUUUCCAAUCCAUAUUUUAUAGUCAUCUUGCCUUGGGAAAUAAUAGUUCAUAUGUUGUGCUUUAUCUUCCAUGCAUGCCAGUCCCUCUCUAUGAGGUCAGGCAAGUGAUGAGAGUCUUGGAACAUUGUUUCUCUGUAGGUUUGGACUAAUAUUUUAUCUCAUUAUUGCAAGAAAUUUAGCCACUACAUUUUUGUAAUAUGUCUCGAGAAUGUUUCCUACACUGCCUGGGCAAGGAAAACACAAACCCAGUUCUCAUGAAGACUAACAUGGAAUUGCUAUGUGUUUCAUGGAAUUAAGGUACUAGGACAAAUGGAUCAAAUCAAAAAUCAAUUUGAAUCUUGGGUACCUCCCAUAUCCCAGGUCUCUGUCAAUUCCUAAACACUCUCAACCAUCCAUCACCAACACUGGUAGGUGCAUACUUCCAUUCAUUCUCCUAGUGCUCUGAGCCUCACUCCUGUCCCUCCACACAGCUGAUCCUGCCUCCUAUCCCCCUUCUACUCUCCUCUCCAACCCAGCUCCCCCCUUCUUUCUGACACCCUCGAAAAUUUAAUUCCCCUUCUAAUUACGAUUUAAGCAUCCUUACUUGGACUUUCCCUCUUCUUUCCCUCUUUUGGUUUUGUGAGGUGUAUUAUGGAUAUUCUGUGCUUUUGGAUAAUAUCUAAUUAUCACUGCAUACACAAUACUUGUCGCUUUGGGUCUGGGUUACCUCAUGCAGGAUGAUAUUUUUCAGUUCAAUCAAUUUGCCAGCAAAAUUAAUAAUUCCCUUUCUUUUAACAUCUGAAUGGUACACCAUAGUGUAAAUGAACCAUAUCUUCUGUAUCCAUUUUUCAGUUGGUGGGUGUUUGGAUCUCUUUUAUUUUCCAGCUAUUAGUAAUAAACCCUUGUGAUAUACUGGAACAUCUUUUGGGUAUAUGCUUAGAAAUAGUAUAGCUAGAUCUUCAGGGAGCACAUUUCUCAACUUUCUGAUAAACUGCCAGGUUCAUUUCCAUAGUGGUUGUACAAGUUUGAGGCUGCAUCAGCAGUAGAAAAGUGUUGCUCUUUUUCUACAUGCUUGCAUUGUUGCUUGAUUUUUUUACCUUUGCAAUUCUGAUUGGUGUAGUCUGAAAUAUCAUGGUGGAUGUGCAUGGCUGAAGUCAAAAUGAGGACAGGGAAAGUGAAGAAAUCACCUCCAGCAACCAGAGACUGCCUCCAUUGGAAGUAUGGGGACACCAACCUACCUAUAAAACUUUUGACCCAAAAUUGUUCCUUUCUAAAAGAAAUGUACAGAAAAAUAUGGAGCAGAGACUAAAUGGCCAAUGAGCAGCCUAUCCCCUACCCCUAUCCCCACUCCCAUCCACAAUAUAUGAAUCUGAGAACUGCCUUGACUGGCCUCAGUGGGAGAGGAUGCACAUAAUCUUGCACAAACUUGAUAGGUUAAGGUGGGGAUACCCAGAGUAAGUCAAAAUAUAAGCACAGAGAACCUAGUGCAUGCAGAAACAAGCCCAGUUCAUGUGACUUCAGUGGGUCUGUGAGUUCCUAUGAACGUUGCUUUUGUUGAUUAUGAUUUCAGAGUGUCCUCGAUCUCCAUCUCUGAGAUUCUUGGAGCUUCCUUUACUCUGAGCUCUCACGGUAGAUUUUAAUGGAGACAUCCUAUUUAGACCUUAGUGUUUCUCUCUUUUGCUUUUUGUGUCUUGUCUGCCAGUGGGUCUCUUUAUUUGUUCUUAUCUGCUGCAGCUGGAAACUUCUUUGAUGAUGGUUACAAAAAGCAUUAAUCCUCCAUGGUUCUCUUGAUUGUGGCUUGGUUAACAAGGACUGCAAUCUAAGAAUCACAUAGUAGAAGUUGCAUCCCAUAUUUUUUUGUCGGAGUCUGACUUACCUGUAUUAGAAUAUUUUCCCAGAUCAAUAAAUUUGCAUGCAAUUUUUUUUGAUUCUAUUGCUUUUAAUGGCUGAGUAAUAUGCAAUUGUGUUAGCAUACUCAAUUUAUCAAUUUUCCGUUGAGGAUCAUCUUGAUUGCCUUUAAUUUAUGUCUCUUAGGAAGAGAGAAACAAUGGACAUAGUUGAUCAAGUUGUCUCUGUGGUGGUGUGAAUCACAUUUUGGGUUUCUUGCUAAGCUGGUUCAAACUGGAGCAUAAAGACUGAAUUUUGUCUUCUGGAUGAACUGCCACCCUGAUUUUCAUAGUAGCAAUACAUUACAGCAGUUUGUGGGAACUCCAGAUGAGAUAAUGCUGUGUGAAAAUCACUGAGGGAAUCAAAAGGAAAAAAUGUUUUCUUUCCGUAUGAAGUAAUAGCACCAAACUGAAGAGGAAUAAAGCUCAAACUUCACUUUUGAUAUUGUAAGCCUGUUGAAUUUAUGUGGUUACUAGGAUGGCUGUAAAUAUGCAUUGCAGAUUAUAUUUCUGUACAUAAAUACCCCAUAACUUUCUGUUGUUCAAGCCUAAAACCUCAGCUAUUCUCAGGAGAAAAAUGUUAUGCUAUUCACUUGCUCAUAUAAAUUGUGCUCAGACCUUAGCAGCAAACUGUCACGACAGUCCUCUCAUCAAGGCUGACCAGGCUUAGGUUGUAUUCUUGGUAACAACUAAUUUACAUCUGAACUUCAUUAACUUUACGGUGAAGUGAAAUUUCCUUCCUCAUUAGGAAAUAACUAAAAACCAUGAAAUGUAGAGAGUACAAAUACAAAAUGUAUUAGACAUAGAUUCUCGAAAAUUCAGUAUUGCUCUUUUUGUUUAAAUCAAAUCAGCUAAUGGACUGAUUACACCUUAACUCCUGGAGCCAUUUGUUACACCCUGGGUCUAGCUUACUCUACCAAUUAAUGUUAGACUAACAGUAAGGAAGGCUGGCAAUUGCUCAUGUACUCCUGACAACAAAUUGAGGAAAUAAUUUGCAGAAGCUAUAUGCACUAAUUCAUGUCUUUGAAUUCCUUGGCUCUAACAACUUUGGAUACUUAUGCCGGGAGCCAAGCCAAUUUAUACACCCACUGUCUCAGGUAUGUUUCAGGAAUGUCAAGUCCACAUACACACUCUGAGAAACCUAGCCAGUUAGAUGUUCUCAUCAGUAAACCUGCAAUAUAUGGUUUAGCGUUACAGGAACCAAAAGAACAAUGGGGGAGGUUGGGGUGAUUGUGACCAUCGUCAAAUUGGUCUUGGGCUCUGCAUGGCCUUUUCGCUUGCUUGCUUGUCUUUGUAAGCCACUUCCCAGAAAUAAAGUUUGAGUGCUUGAUCUGAAAAGAAAAAGCCAUCUUUUCUCAGGAUCAAAAGGUUGUAUUGUCUUUUUAUGACCAAUGCAGACACCAUAUGCCUGAGGUACACAAACCUGACUAUAUGCAAAAACAAAACAAAAAAAAACCCCACAAACAUAUACAUAAAAUUAAAAUUCAUAAAUCUUUUUAAUGUCUUUUUCCAUCUUUAUUAAAUUGGGCAUUUCUUAUUUACAUUUCAAAUGUUAUUCUCUCCCAGGUUUGUUAAUCUGUGUCUUUUCAAUGGGGAAUUGAGUCCAUUGAUGUUGAGAGAUAUUAAGGAAUAGUGAUUGUUGCUUUCUGUUAUCUUCGUAUUUAGAGGUGAGAUUAUGUUUGUGUGCUUGCCUUCUAUUUGUUUCUUGCUUUUUCUAGGAUGUAGCUUGCCUCUUUAUGUUGGGCUUUACCAUUUAUUAUCAUUUGUAGAAUGGAUUUGUAGAAAGAUUUUGUGUAAAUGUGGUUUUGCCAUGGAAUAUAUUGGUUGCUCCAUCUGUGUUAAUUGAGAGUUUUGCUGGAUACAGUAACCUGGGCUGGCAUUUAUGUUCUCUUAGGAUCUGUAUGACAUCUAUCCAGGAGCUUCUGGCUUUCAUAGUCUCUGGUGCAAAAUCUGGUGUGAUUCUGAUAGGUCUGCCUUUAUAUGUUACUUGACCUUUUUCCCUUACUGCUUUUAAUAUUCUUUCUUUGUUUUGUCCAUUUAGUGCUUUGACUAUUAUGUGAAAAGAGGAGUUUCUUUUCUGGUCCAAUCUAUUUGGAGUUCUGUAGGCUUCUUGGAUGUUUAUGGGCAUCUCUUUCUUUAGUAUAGAGAAGUGUUCUUCUAUGAUUUUAUUGAAGAUAUUUACUGGUACUUUGAGUUGGGAAACUUCACUGUCUUCUAUACCUAUUAUCCUUAGGUUUGAUCUUCUCUUGUGUCCUGGAUUUCCUGUAGGUUUUCUGCCAGUAGCUUUUUCUCUUUUACAUUAUCUUUGACAGUUGUGUCAAUGCUUUCUAUGGAAUCUUCUGCUCCUGAGAUUCUCUCUUCUAUCUCUUUAUUGUUUCGAUUUCAAUUUUCAAUUCCUUCCCCUGUUUGAUUGUGUUUUCCUGUAAUUCUUUUGGGAAAUUUUGUAUUUCCUCUCUAAGGGC
ensembl:lncRNA